rnacentral:rRNA from 1 species
AUAACUCGCCGAAAGGCGAGCUAAUACCGCAUGACAUUCCUGGGACUCCGGUCCCGGGACUCAAAGGCCGCAAGGCCGUCUGAGGAGGAGCCCGCGCCCGAUUAGCUAGUUGGUGAGGUAACGGCUCACCAAGGCUUUUGAUCGGUAGCCGGUCUGAGAGGAUGGCCGGCCACACUGGAACUGAGACACGGUCCAGACUCCUACGGGAGGCAGCAGUGGGGAAUAUUGCGCAAUGGGCGAAAGCCUGACGCAGCGACGCCGCGUGGGGGAUGAAGCUUCUCGGAGUGUAAACCCCUUUCGACCCGGACGAAUGACCCGCAAGGGUUUGACGGUACGGGUAUAAGAAGCCCCGGCUAACUACGUGCCAGCAGCCGCGGUAAUACGUAGGGGGCCAGCGUUGCUCGGAAUUACUGGGCGUAAAGGGUUCGUAGGUGGUGCGGCAAGUUGGAAGUGAAAUCUCUGGGCUUAACUCAGAGGCUGCUUUCAAAACUGCCGUGCUCGAGUGCGGGAGAGGCCAGUGGAAUUGCAGGUGUAGCGGUGAAAUGCGUAGAUAUCUGCAGGAACACCCGUGGCGAAGGCGGCUGGCUGGACCGCAACUGACACUGAGGAACGAAAGCUAGGGGAGCAAACAGGAUUAGAUACCCUGGUAGUCCUAGCCCUAAACCAUCAGAACUUGGGGUGGCCCGCGUAGGCGGGUCGUCCCGUAGCUAACGCGUUAAGUUCUGCGCCUGGGGAGUACGGUCGCAAGACUGAAACUCAAAGGAAUUGACGG